CCUACGGGAGGCAGCAGUGGGGAAUAUUGGGCAAUGGACGCAAGUCUGACCCAGCAACGCCGCGUGAAGGAAGAAGGCUUUCGGGUUGUAAACUUCUUUUAAGGGGGAAGAGCAGAAGACGGUAUCCCUUGAAUAAGCCACGGCUAACUACGUGACAGCAGACGCGGUAAUACGUAGGUGGCAAGCGUUGUCCGGAUUUACUGGGGGUAAAGGGCGUGCAGCCGGAGAGACAAGUCAGAUGUGAAAUCCACGGGCUCAACCCGUGAACUGCAUUUGAAACUGUUUCCCUUGAGUGUCGGAGAGGGAAUCGGAAUUCCUUGUGUAGCGGUGAAAUGCGUAGAUAUAAGGAAGAACACCAGUGGCGAAGGCGGAUUACUGGACGGUAACUGACGGUGAGGCGCGAAAGCGUGGGGAGCAAACAGGAUUAGAUACCCGGGUAGUC
rnacentral:rRNA from 1 species